rnacentral:lncRNA from 1 species
GUCAACUUGCUGAGUCGUCCAGGCCUUCAUCUUUCUUCUGUGCUGGAUGCUUCCCUGCUCUUGAACAUCAAGACUUCAGGUUUUGGGACUCAGACUGAGCCACUGCUGGCUUCCUUGCUCCUCAGCUUGCAGAUGCCUAUUGUGGGACUUCACCUUACAGUCAUACCCGAUGUGAAGCCUGACUGAGCAGAGUGGAGACCAGCAGCUGCACGUCAAGUGGCCUUCCCAGGACUUGACUCCAUAUGCAUGUUCUCGUCCAUGGGCUCAUACCCAGUCCAAAGGACUUUACCCCAGCUCCAUCUUUGCCCAGACACACUUGAGGCUGCAGGGUUUUGGUGACUGUAAAUUGGUCUUGACCCUCUGAGGAAAUGGGGAUGCUGCAGAAGACACUGGCUAAAUUGAUAAAAUGAGAUUUGUAACCACCCUGGGACAGAGCUCCCAGAGGGAGAGACGGGCCACUAUCUUUGCCAUUUAGAUGACUUAGCUGUUCCAGCCUUCAGGCCUCAGAGUAUCUGAGGAACCAGGGGCUGACAUGGACCCCCAGCACAGCACAGCUGCUCUACCAAAACAUGGCCAGACUGUUUCUUUAAGCAGGUCCCUGAUCCCAUUCCUCCUCACUGGGCAGGACCUCCCAAAUGGGGUCUUCAGCCACCUCCUACAGGUGCCUUUGCAUUGGCAACAAGCCUGUACCAUCCUGGGAUGAAGCUUCAGGGAGGGACUGCUGCUAUUUUUGCUGUUUCACAGUCUUCACUGGUGAUACCUCCAGGUACUGGACUAUCUGAGGCAACUAAGGACUGGAGCAGGCCCCCAGAAUACCACAGCAGCCCUACAGAAAAGAGGACAGACUGUUACAUUGGUGCCCAUUCCCAUGUCUCCUCAUCAGGCAGAUUCUCCAAGCCUAGGCCUCCAGCCACCCCCUGCCAGAGCUAUGAAGCCAGUAGCAACUCAGCAACUCCAUGAACAGAGCCUCCAGCGCCAUCUGAAAGCCCCUCUGCCACUGCCUCUGCAGUGGAACUGUCCUUGCCACCCUCAGACUAACAAAGGAGCAAAGGCCCUAAGCGCUUUAUUCACACCUCCAACAAGCUGCAGUCAACCCAAGGAGAGGAGAUCAGUCUGUUUCCCAUGGGUCCCAUACUCCCUCUCCCACUGCUCAUCACCAGGCAGGGAACCCCUGGCAUGGACCCACGGCACAGAUGCUCCACCUUGAGCUGACUGCACUGAGUGGCUGCUGACCUUCAUCUCUCUGGAAUGGAGCCCCCAGGAGACAAGCAAACAACCCUUGGCCACAACCACUAAUAAGAUCCCUUCCUCUGCUGCUUCCAACUUGAGGAAGGAACAUAAACACUGAGAUCACCCCAGAGCUGCAGUGGGCAGCCCAGGAGUCCCAAGUCAUAAUCACAGCCAGCACUCAAGAGGGAGAGGAACCCACACUUUCAGAGCAUUGUGAGAAAACACAGCUGCAACUGUGAGGAAACAUAGGGGAGCCAUACAACUGACCAAUAAGCCUAAGUGCCACCUGCUGGAUCACACCCCAAAGCGUCAACAUAAAUAAUACCUUACUAACAUAUCCGGCCUCUGAAACCAGAGACAAGAAGUCAGUUUCAAAUAAAGACCCCACACAAAGCCUCAGCCCAGGGAAAACAUCCAGAAAAGAAGUCUAUUGACUGUACUUAAUCUACACUGUGGUUAAAGAAACACUCACACACAGAGAUGAGAAAGAAGCAAUGCAAGAACUCCAGUAACUCAAAUGGCCAGAGGGUCAUAUGUCCUCCAAACGACCACACUAGUUCUGCAACAAGAGUUAUGAACCAUGCUGAACUAGCUGAAAUGACAGAAGUAGAAUUCAGAAUACAGAUAGAAACAAAGAUCACUGAAAUUCAGGAGGAUGGCAAAACCCAAUCCAAGGAAAACAAGAGUCACAAUAAAGUGAUACAAGAACCAAAGGACAAAAUAGCUGGUAUAAAAAAGAACCUAACAGGUCUGGCAGAGCUGAAUAACACAACACAAGAAUUUCACAAUGCAAUCACAAGUAUUAACAGUAGAAUAAACCAAGCUGAGGAAAGAAUCUCAGAACUUGAAGACUGG